CGUGAGGAAACCGAGACACGCCGACAAAUACAGAAAACACACAAAAACAAGAAAUAACAUCUCACCUGGUCUGUGCGUGUCUGUGAGAGGUGUUUGUGCGCUGCUGUUUCUCCUGCCUGCUGGACCUUUCACCCACUUAUCUACCCGGACCGGUCUGACUGCAACACAGAGCUGCCGUGAGACAUGUUUCCAGACAAGAGAAGCCAUGCCGGGGACAAGAAGAUAAGUUAAAGUGUAAGAUGGGAGAACAACAUCAACCACUACAUCAUGGGGAAGAAACAAGGAAAGGUGAAAGGUCAGAUAUUUGCCGGACGGCGAUGUCAAUCAUCACCAUCAUGUCAGUGCGGUAGAAGAUGUCAGCCGUCUCUGUGCUGGCAAAAACAUCCUGCAGAAACUUGAGCACUGAGUGCGGUGCAGGUGGGGUGUGUUUGAACAUACACACCGGGUCAUCUGGAGGAGGAGAGUAAAAAAAGAUGCAUGAACGACGGGAUCAACGACACUGAAGACACUCUGAGAACGGAUAUGAAAAAUGGGAAAUGACAACGGUUGAAGGACAGCAGGAGGUUCAGGAAGGCGUCAGGCAGCUGCUCUGUGGGAUCAGAUGGAAGCCCGUCCUCUACCACACCCAGCAGAAACUGAACAAAGUCUCUGGCCAGCUCCAUGGGGAGGAUGGAGUUGAGGAGGGUGGAGAUGAGGGCAGCGUCCAGGCUGCACAUCGCCCCGAACACUUUGAGCAGCAGCAGCCGCAAAGACACACGGUGCUCCUGCACGGUCACAUGACGGCAGCAAUGAGCCAAAAAAGACCAAAUGUGCACUGAACAUCGCCAACAUGCAUGCUGACACAGUAAUUACAUAUUCAGACCUCUGAGGCACUCAUAGCACUGCACAAUACUUUGGAGCA